rnacentral:rRNA from 1 species
CCGUUCUCAGUUCGGAUCGGAGUCUGCAACCCGACUCCGUGAAGCUGGAUUCGCUAGUAAUCGCGCAUCAGCCAUGGCGCGGUGAAUACGUUCCCGGGCCUUGUACACACCGCCCGUCAAGCCAUGGGAGCCGGGGGUGCUUGAAGUGCGUCGCCGCAAGGCGCGCCCUAGAGCAAAACCGGUGACUGGGGCUAAGUCGUAACAAGGUAGC